rfam:Tupaia chinensis contig117310, whole genome shotgun sequence.
UGGAUCAGUGAUGACUACUGGUGGUGACUAUGUCACGUCCAAGGAAAUACAUGUCUGGAACCCUGAGGCUCCCA